GUUUUGUGAGUUAAGGCAUGCGAGUAGACAGAAUUAGGAAAACAAGCAUAUAGUUGAAGAAGUAUGCAUGAAGCUAGUUCACCUGGAGUUGUUGUUUUUGACGGUUUUGGCAUUCCCAAAUGCUUCCAAGACUGGGUUCGACUACAAAUUGUCAAUGCAAGUUACCACCAAUUUUAUGCUAUAACUUAAUGUACAAGGAUUAUUACGGAGCAUGGAUUUGACGCACCUCCAAAACUUGUUGUUCGACUGUCCUUCCUUCAGUACCAGAUCUACCCCCCAUGAAUGCAAGAUUAUGCGUGCCUUUUGUUUGAGGUCAUUUGGCUCCACUCAAUUUAUAUAUACCUAUAACAUGCAUCCGCAACAGCAAAAAGAUGUGGACUUAGCUCACCAAAAGCAGCUCCUUUAUAUUGUUCCAUCAUGUGGACGUCAUAUAAGUGCAGCAGUCUUUGGAAAGGAUUCACCGCUAUUAGAAUGUUGCCGGUGUGACUCACAUAUAUCUCAUUGAGAGCAAAUCGAGAAGCAAGAUUGCACAGGACUCCCGGCUCAUGCAGAAUGACCGUGCAGAGAAGCCAAUGGACUUCUGUUGUCCAGAGAGAGAGAGAGAGAGAGGUGUGAGGAGAAUGGUGGUGCUAUUUGCAGAAAUAAAAAGUAGACGGAAGUUUGAAAAGGAAUGUUUCAACGAAACGAAAAGCAGUAGCAAAUGCCGGUGGUGGUAACUCAAAAGGAAAAGGCAGGCAGCCACCCCUCACCUCCCUCCCCCACCUGCUGUCACCUUUUUUGAUCAUUCCACCUUGCAUGCUGACCUGGCUCCAUAAGCAGCCUCAAGAUAUAAACUUGUAUCACUUCCAGGUGGACCCGUCGUUGCGUGAGCAAUACCAGGAAUUUAUGUCCAGUUGAUUCAGGUGCUAUUUUUUUUAUAUUUUGAUGCUGAUUGCAGCCAUUUGAUGAGGGGACCCACUGCUUUGCCAUUGUUAAGGUCAGUGUGUUGCUAAUUAUGUUGUUCAUUUUCAGGCCACAGUGGGGUUCACUAGCUGUAAUGGUGUGUUAAAAAAUUAUGAAAGUGUCCUUUGAUUAA